GGUUUGAUUCUGGCUCAGAUUGAACGCUGGCGGGAUGCUUUACACAUGCAAGUCGAACGUGGCAGCACGGACUUCGGUCUGGUGGCGAGUGGCGAACGGGUGAGUAAUGUAUCGGAACGUGCCUAGUAGCGGGGGAUAACUACGCGAAAGCGCUGGCCAUACUGCAUACGCCCUUCGGGGGAAAGCGGGGGACCUUCGGGCCUGCACUAUUAGAGCGGCCGAUAUCGGAUUAGCGUAGUUGCGGGGCAACGGCUCACCAUGACGAUCCGCAGCUGGUUUGAGAGGACGACCAGCCACACUGGGACUGAGACACGGCCCAGACUCCUACGGGAGGCAGCAGUGGGGAAUUUUGACAAUGGGGGGAAACCCGAUCCAGCCAUCCUGCGUGUGCGAUGAAGGCCUUUCAAGUUGUAAAGCACUUUUGGCAGGAAAAGAAACGGCACGGGAUAAUACCCUGUGCAACUGAUUUGCACGCGGCAGAAUAAGCACCGGCUAACUACGUGCCAGCAGCCGCGGUAAUACGUAGGGUGCAAGCGUUAAUCGGAAUUACUAAGCGUAAAGCGUGCAGGCGGUUCGGAAAGAAAGAUGUAAAUCCUGAGCUUAACUUUGGAACUGCAUUUUUAACUACCGGAGUUUAGAGUGUGUCAGAGGGAGGUGAAAUUCGCGUGUAGUGAAAUGCGUAGAUAUGCGGAGGAACACCGAUGGCGAAGGCAGCCUCCUGGGAUAACACUGACGCUCAUGCACGAAAGGUAAGCGCAAACAGGAUUAGAUACCCUGGUAGUCCACGCCCUAAACGAUGUCAACUAGCUGUUGGGGCCUCGGGCUCUUGGUAGCGCAGCGACCGCGAAGUUGACCGCCUGGGGUACGGUCGCAAGAUUAAAACUCAAAGGAAUUGACGGGGACCCGCACAAGCGGUGGAUGAUGUGGAUUAAUUCGAUGCAAUGAAAACCCGCCUUACCCUUGACAUGUUCAACUGAAGAGAUUUGAGUGCCGCAAGAGAACCGAACACAGGUGCGAUAGCUGUCGUUUCAGGUUUGUGUCGAGAUGCGUUGCUUAAGUCCCGCAACGAGCGCAACCCCUUGUCAUUAGUUGCUGAAAGGGCACUCUAAUGAGACUGUUAAGACAAACCGGAGGAAGGUGGGGAUGACGUCAAGUCCUCAUGGCCUCUUAUGGGUAGGGUCACCGCCAAGGGCCAUCGUCGGGACAGAGGGUCGCCAACCCGCGAGGGGGACGCUAAUCCCAGAAACCUGAUCGUAGUCCGGAUCGUGUCUGCAACCUGGAUCGUGAAGUCGGAAUCGUUAAUAGUAAUCGGUGGAUCAGCAUGUCAGUGGUGAAUACGUUCCUGCACCCAGAGACACCGCCCGUCACACCACGGAGUGGUCACCAGGCGGUUAGCUCUAACCGGGUGAGGCGAUUACCACGAGAGAUUCUAUGAUUUGGGGUAGCUGUAAUAUGUAA
rnacentral:rRNA from 1 species